UCUCCGUCGGUGAACCAGCGGAGGGAUCAUUACCGAGUUUACAACUCCCAAACCCCUGUGAACAUACCAUUUGUUGCCUCGGCGGUGCCUGCUUCGGCAGCCCGCCAGAGGACCCAAACCCUUGAUUUUAUACAGUAUCUUCUGAGUAAAUGAUUAAAUAAAUCAAAACCUUCAACAACGGAUCUCUUGGUUCUG
rnacentral:misc_RNA from 1 species